rnacentral:rRNA from 1 species
GAAAGAUGAAAAGAACUUUGAAAAGAGAGUUAAACAGUACGUGAAAUUGUUGAAAGGGAAACGAUUGAAGUCAGUCGUACCAGCGGGAAAUCAACCUUUCGAGUGGGGUUUUGGAGUUUUGAAGUGUGUCAAAACCUUUGGGAUUUCAAAAUGCUCGCUCUUUUGGUGUACUUUCUCGCAGGUAGGUUAACAUCGAUUCUGAUCAUCAUAAAAGGAUUGGAGGAAUGUAGCUUCGAUCUCGUAUUGAAGUGUUAUA